GAUGAACGCUGGCGGCGUGCCUAAUACAUGCAAGUCGAGCGAACAGACGAGGAGCUUGCUCCUCUGACGUUAGCGGCGGACGGGUGAGUAACACGUGGAUAACCUACCUAUAAGACUGGGAUAACUUCGGGAAACCGGAGCUAAUACCGGAUAAUAUAUUGAACCGCAUGGUUCAAUAGUGAAAGACGGUUUUGCUGUCACUUAUAGAUGGAUCCGCGCCGCAUUAGCUAGUUGGUAAGGUAACGGCUUACCAAGGCGACGAUGCGUAGCCGACCUGAGAGGGUGAUCGGCCACACUGGAACUGAGACACGGUCCAGACUCCUACGGGAGGCAGCAGUAGGGAAUCUUCCGCAAUGGGCGAAAGCUUGACGGAGCAACGCCGCGUGAGUGAUGAAGGUCUUCGGAUCGUAAAACUCUGUUAUUAGGGAAGAAAAGAUGUGUAAGUAACUAUGCACGUCUUGACGGUACCUAAUCAGAAAGCCACGGCUAACUACGUG
rnacentral:rRNA from 1 species